ACGCGAAGAACCUUACCCAGGCUCGAACGGCAAGUNACAUCCGGCGAAAGCGGGCUCCCGCAAGGGCAGUUGCCGAGGUGCUGCAUGGCUGUCGUCAGCUCGUGUCGUGAGAUGUUGGGUUAAGUCCCGCAACGAGCACAACCCUUGUCCGCUGUUGCCAUCAGGUUAAGCUGGGCACUCUGCGGAGACUGCCGGUGAUAAACCGGAGGAAGGUGGGGAUGACGUCAAGUCAGCAUGGCCUUUAUGUCUGGGGCUACACACGUGCUACAAUGGCAGAUACAAACCGUCGCGAGACCGCAAGGUGGAGCUAAUCGGAGAAAGUCUGUCUCAGUUCGGAUUGCAGGCUGCAACUCGCCUGCAUGAAGUUGGAAUCGCUAGUAAUCGCGGAUCAGCACGCCGCGGUGAAUACGUUCCCGGGCCUUGUACACACCGCCCGUCACAUCACGAAAGCUGGCUGUACUAGAAGUCGCCGCGCUAACCCGCAAGGGAGGCAAGCGCCUAAGGUAUGGUUAGUGAUUGGGGUG
rnacentral:rRNA from 1 species